rnacentral:tRNA from 2 species
GCCGAGAUAGCUCAGUUGGUAGAGCACCCGGCUGAAAACCGGGGGGUCGGCGGUUCGAUUCCGCCUCUCGGCA